CUUUAAUCUUUCUAUAUUAUUCAGUAAUAUUUGUGCUUGUUAAUGUUAUUUUGUUUGUAUUUUGCUAAAUCCACUAAGAUCUGGUUUUGCUCUCACCACCAGUGCUGCCUUAACUUUCAACAACUGCUUCAAGAUCGCCGUGCCAAAUAGGAGGAAAAGCAACUACUGAAUGAAGCGAACCACCAGCUGGUCGCCUUGACAACCGCAGCUGAAUUGUGUUUGGUUUUUUUCUCUGUUUGACACCAGUUUGGUUUUAAGUGAAAGCAUUUUUACAGAAAUGUACUUCAUAUUAACAAGCUGCUGGAUAAACCUCAAAUACAUUGUUCCGACAUGAACAAACCUUUUUUAAAGGGAUGGCGGAAUAAUUAAAUAAUAGCAAACACCCAGGAUGGGAUUUAAACCCAAGACCUUCAUACUGCAAGGCAGCUAUGCUAUCAACUGCACCACCAUGCAGCCCUUAGGCCAGUUAGAAUUCUUCUGUCGUGUUUUUAGCUUUAAACAGUGUAAGAGAAAACCUGUAUACAUCAUGAGAUUGCUUAUAACUUUAACUUCUAACAAAACAAGAGGAAUCUGUAAAGUAACUCAUUAGAACAGUCCUGUCACUCAAAAUAAUCCAUUCAGUAAUUUAGUAAAGUUACCUAAAUUACAUUCUGUGCUUUAACUUAACACCCAAAACCUAAAUUAAAGCUGAAAACAAAUUCAGUUGUUUUUUCCAACAUGAAACAUGUGUAGGAACCAUAUGAGGGAAUUUGGGCUGCAUCUUGUACGUUUAUUUUGUCAUCUUGUUGUUUUUACAAAACCCCAAAGAAAGUUCACAGUCAAACUGUUGGUCAUUAAUUAAAAGAAAUUCACUUUAAGGCAGCAUUUGUUUUCCACAUCACACAACAGAUCUAUAAUUUGAAACAAAAAUAUGUAAAACAAGUCAAGUUAGUUUCUUUAAGCUCUGAAUAUAAAGUUUAUCAAAUCAGAUCCAGGCCUCUUUUUAUUGACAUGAAUAUAUAACCUGAGACUAGACAGAAUUAUGCUGAUAUAAAACACAUUUAGAGACAAAGAAAUUAGAAUAUAAACAUUUUUGAUUUUGGGAUUCAGGAUUAUUUAUCAGCUUCUUAAUGUCAGAUUGUACAUCAGACUAAAGCACUUUUCCUACACGUACUGAAGUCCUCAUGAAAUUGAAUGUUCUCUUUACUCAUUGAAAUGAACUGCUUAAAAACA